rnacentral:rRNA from 1 species
GAUGAACGCUGGCGGCGUGCCUAAUACAUGCAAGUCGAGCGAACAGACGAGGAGCUUACUCCUCUGACGUUAGCGGCGGACGGGUGAGUAACACGUGGAUAACCUACCUAUAAGACUGGGAUAACUUCGGGAAACCGGAGCUAAUACCGGAUAACAUGUUGAACCGCAUGGUUCAACAGUGAAAGACGGUCUUGCUGUCACUUAUAGAUGGAUCCGCGUCGCAUUAGCUAGUUGGUAAGGUAACGGCUUACCAAGGCAACGAUGCGUAGCCGACCUGAGAGGGUGAUCGGCCACACUGGAACGGAGACACGGUCCAGACUCCUACGGGAGGCAGCAGUAGGGAAUCUGCCGCAAUGGGCGAAAGCCUGACGGAGCAACGCCGCGUGAGUGAAGAAGGUCUUCGGAUCGUAAAACUCUGUUAUUAGGGAAGAACAAAUGUGUAAGUAACUAUGCACGUCUUGACGGUACCUAAUCAGAAAGCCACGGCUAACUACGUG